rnacentral:rRNA from 1 species
UACAGAGGGGGCAAGCGUUAUUCGGAAUUAUUGGGCGUAAAGGGCGCGUAGGCGGCUUUUCAAGUGACGGGUGAAAGCCCUCGGCUUAACCGAGGAACUGCCUGUCAGACUGGAAGGCUUGAGACCGGGAGAGGUGAGUGGAAUUCCCAGUGUAGCGGUGAAAUGCGUAGAUAUUGGGAGGAACACCGGUGGCGAAGGCGACGUCCUGGACCGGUAUUGACGCUGAGGCGCGAAAGCCAGGGGAGCAAACGGG